rnacentral:rRNA from 1 species
GACGAACGCUGGCGGCGUGCCUAACACAUGCAAGUCGAGCGGGGUUGAAGCGAGGGGUAACUCGGACUUCUACCUAGCGGCGGACGGGUGAGUAACGCGUGGGCAACCUGCCUCAAGGUCUGGGAUAACAGCUCGAAAGGGCUGCUAAUACCGGAUAUGCCUAUGGCCUCGCAUGGGGCUAUGAGCAAAGGGGAAACCCGCCUUGAGAUGGGCCCGCGUCCCAUCAGCUAGUUGGUGAGGUGAAGGCUCACCAAGGCGACGACGGGUAGCCGGCCUGAGAGGGUGACCGGCCACACUGGGACUGAGACACGGCCCAGACUCCUACGGGGGGCAGCAGUGGGGGAUCUUGCACAAUGGGCGAAAGCCUGAUGCAGCGACGCCGCGUGAGCGAAGAAGGCCUGGUGUAACUCUUCUAGCAGGAGAAGACGAAGUAGACGGUACCUGCAGAAGAAGCACCGGCUAACUACGUGCCAGCAGCCGCGGUAAACGUACUA